CCGAUAAUAACGUUUCCUCGGUUCAUUCAAAAUAAUUGCAAGGAAAGACGAGUAGUCUCCCUUGGUUUGCCUAUUUUUAUAACCAGACAUUGACAGAUUACGUAAUACUUUUGUCUGUCUGGAUUUUUGAAGGAUCAAUAGAUAUAUUUGGAAAUGAAAAUAAUGAAAACAAAAGAAUAUGUUUUGGUGUAAUACGAAAAAAUUGGCAGGGUUUUAGAUGAUUAACUGGUAAAAUAUUGUCAACAUGGUAGUUUAAAGCCGUAGUUGUGCCAGAAGUCGUUAACAAGAGUUGUCUGUGAUCUUUCUAUGGACUGGCUUUGUGUUAUUGUUAAAAUUUACAUUUAACACAUGUUAGUACCCAGUCAGUGAUCGGACGAGGACUACAAAAGACCUAUUGCUUCCAUAUGUCUUCUGGUGAACACGAUGUGUUGUGCAAGUGAAACAAAUGGAAAAGAUAUACCAUAGUGACAUUCGAUGUUUGCAUUUAAGUCAUUGAAUACAUUGUAUUACAUCUUUCACAGUCGGUCAGGUACUAUGGAUGGGAAUUCACCUGUACCGACGAUUAGAAGUCGUCAAAGAUAUCAAGGCUUAUGAUUGAGUAUACCAGACGUUCAAUCAUCAACAUCAUAAGUGAGGCAUUACCUAACUUGUAAUGUUGAUGAUACCGUAUUGUAUUAGGGUCAGAACAUGCAUCUUACAACGUUUAUGUAUGAUGCAUCACAGUAUUUUUAGGAGACGGUUUUCACUAAACUGCUUCCAAUUUUCACGAGGACCCGAGUACCCAAUGCUCAUAGUUUGCCUUUUUAACGUUUUUGAUUCGAGCGACAUUGUUGAGUCUUUUGUAGACGAAACGCGCGUCGAGCGUACAAAAUUUUAAGCCUGAUAUCAAUGAUGAGUUUAUUUAAUGCUCAUUUUUUCUUUUGCUAUAUAAAGGCAAAAGUAAUAUAUCGCUGUUCAAUAGUCUUGUUCACUAUUGUUUUUUUUUUUCUUUCCAGCUUUCUUCUUUUGAGCAAUGAUUUUUAUUGUCCCUUAAUAUUUUCUUUUUCAAUACUGUCUUAGUAACUUUGUCAACUUUCACUUUUGAUGUUUUUUCCACGGUUUUAGUUUGUAACCCGGAUUUGUUUUCUCUUAAUCGAUUGGUGACUUUUGAACAGCGGUAUACUACUGUUGUCUUUAUUUGUCUAGUUGUCAGUUUUGUCUAGAUUAACAACAAGGAGAUUUGGUAUGAUUUUCAAUGAGACAACUACCCAAUUAAGGCCCCGUUAUCUACUUUCAUUAUUAUCUAGAUUGUUAUUUUCAGCCUUUGUUUAGGUUGUGUUGUCUACUUUCACAUUUUCUUUAAUCUCAUGUCUGCACACUGUUGUCUAACUUGCUUUGCUACAUUCUCUGCUUUCUAGUUGUUACAAAUAAUUGUUUGAUAUUUUUGUCUCAUCUCCGGAUUUAUUUUGUUUAAGGAUUAAAUCUAUUUUAAGUUAAUCAUCUUGAAUUUGCUAAUACUAUGCAAAAAAUCUCUUAUGUAAAUAAUGUAUUUCUUAAAGGCAUCAAAAAAUUAAUUUUGAGCGGAAACACAAUUGGAGUCUUUUUUUUUUUAUUUCAAACAUGAUAUAGUUCUACUCUUUCAAAACCAAUUUGCCAGCAUUGAUCAACGUAAACGAUAUUGAAAAGGCCAAUUUUCUUUUUUACCUAAAUAGAUGAAGGUCCUUAAAAUAUUCCAGGCUUAUCAUUUUGGUACACCAGACGCGUAUAAGUCAUGAUCUGAUACUGUUUCUUAAAAAAAAAUCGUACAGGCAAAAUGAAUUACAAUUAAAGUUGCCUUUCCAUGAAGUUCGUUGAAUAAAGUCAAUCAUGGGAAAAAAUUAAAUUAUUUAACAUAUGUAUAUACAUUGAUCAGACUUAUCUAAAAUAUUAUAUGUAAAUAGCAUGUUUAACAUGAGGAGCACAUGUUGUGUUUCAUGAAUAAAGAUAUUCCAGUAUUGCAUAAAUGCA